rnacentral:rRNA from 1 species
CCUACGGGUGGCAGCAGUCGAGAAUCAUUCACAAUGGGGGAAACCCUGAUGGUGCGACGCCGCGUGGGGGAAUGAAGGUCUUCGGAUUGUAAACCCCUGUCAUGUGGGAGCAAAUUAAAAAGAUAGUACCACAAGAGGAAGAGACGGCUAACUCUGUGCCAGCAGCCGCGGUAAUACAGAGGUCUCAAGCGUUGUUCGGAAUCACUGGGCGUAAAGCGUGCGUAGGCUGUUUCGUAAGUCGUGAGUGAAAGGCGCGGGCUCAACCCGAGGACGGCACAUGAUACUGGGAGACUAGAGUAAGGGAGGGGGAAGCGGAAUUCUCGGUGUAGCAGUGAAAUGCGUAGAGAUCGAGAGGAACACUCAUGGCGAAGGCGGGUUCCUGGACAUUAACUGACGCUGAGGCACGAAGGCCAGGGGAGCGAAAGGGAUUAGAUACCCCAGUAGUC